GAUGAACGCUGGCGGCGUGCCUAAUACAUGCAAGUCGAGCGAACAGACGAGGAGCUUGCUCCUCUGACGUUAGCGGCGGACGGGUGAGUAACACGUGGAUAACCUACCUAUAAGACUGGGAUAACUUCGGGAAACCGGAGCUAAUACCGGAUAAUAUAUUGAACCGCAUGGUUCAAUAGUGAAAGACGGUUUUGCUGUCACUUAUAGAUGGAUCCGCGCCGCAUUAGCUAGUUGGUAAGGUAACGGCUUACCAAGGCAACGAUGCGUAGCCGACCUGAGAGGGUUGUCGGGCCCCACUGGACUUGGACCCGGGCCCAGCCCCCGACGGGGGCAGCAGUGGGGAAUUUUUCCGAAAGGGGGAAAGUCCGGCGGGACCACCCCGGGGGGGUUAAGAAAGUUCUUCGGAUCUAAAACUUUUUUUAUGGGGAAAAAAAAAAUGUGAAAGUAACUAUGCCCUUCUGGAGGGUCCCUAACAAAAAGCCCCGGCCAACCUCCGUC
rnacentral:rRNA from 1 species